rnacentral:rRNA from 1 species
AGUGGCGAACGGGUGAGUAACACGUGGGCAACCUGCCCCAGACUGGGGGAUAACAUUGUGAAAACAGUGCUAAUACCGCAUGACAGGGUUCCGGGCAUCCGGGACUCUUGAAAGGAGAAAUCCGGUCAGGGAUGGGCCCGCGUCCAAUUAGCUAGUUGGUGGGGUAACGGCCCACCAAGGCGACGAUUGGUAGCCGAACUGAGAGGUUGAUCGGCCACAUUGGGACUGAGACACGGCCCAGACUCCUACGGGAGGCAGCAGUGGGGAAUAUUGGGCAAUGGGCGAAAGCCUGAACCCCAGCGACGCCGCGUGAAGGAUGAAGGUCUUCGGAUUGUAAACUUCUUUGAUCAGGGAAGAAAGAAAUGACGGUACCUGAAAAACAAGCCACGGCUAACUACGUGCCAGCAGCGGC